rnacentral:lncRNA from 1 species
UUUAAACUUAAAUAUUUCAAUUCCAAAUAAAAAUUAAACUUUGAAUCCGAUUUUAUGUUCAUUUAAAAUCUUUACUAAAUAAUCUAAUCCAAACACGGUAUUAUAGAGUAGAGCUACUAUGCUAUCAGAAUCAUAAAGUAGUUGGUGUUUCCGAUUUUUUAGCCUUUAGAUCAACCCCAUUGAUUAUUUCUAACCAUUGGAUUAAUAUUAUUAACCAAUGGGGACCACUCAACCCUAGGGGAACCACUCAACCCUAAGGGGACCGCUAUCAUCCCAACCAUAAAAUCUUUGAUCUAAGGGCUAAAAAAUCGAACGUGUAGUUGGUGCUUCCGAUUUUUUAGCCUUUAGAUCAACACCAUUGAUCAUUUCUAACCAUUGGAUUAAUAUUAUUAACCAAUGGGGACCACUCAACCCUAGGAGGAUCACUCAAAUCUAAAGGAACCGCUAUCAUCCCAACCGUAAAAUCUUUGAUCUAAGGGCUAAAAAAUUGGAAACACCAACUACUUUAUGCUUCCAAUAGCAUAGUAGCUCUACACCGGUAUUAUAUUAUAUAUUUUAAUCCAACCCUAAUAUCAGUCAUAUCAUGUAUCAUUGUUCGGUUCAUUACCAAAUAUGCCCUAUGUCACGCCCCGCGGCCGCCAGUUUGGUCGAUUCGGGUAUGCACACAAACCGUCGAACGGAUAGAGUCUCCCCUGUACCCCCCAAGGCUCAACAACAUCAUGUACAUCUAGUUUUGCCCAGGUAAAAGCAUACAACAUACAUGAUUUGCGCAAGAAAAAUAAAUAAGAGUAAGAGAGAAAUUUAACUAAGCUAUUACAACCAUUCAUUUGUUUGUCCAUUUACAACUUACCAAAAUACAACCAUUUAAUUCACACAUAGAUUUCCUCACUACAUGUUCUUUCCAAAAUAUAACAUAUCUCUCACAUAAAUAUUUACAUGGUAUACUAAUGCACGGGAGGUCACUAUUGUAACAUAUCGAAUCUCCGGGUUACAAUGCUAACUUUGAUCUAAUUGAUCAAAGUGAGGCUUGAGCUGGUUGUGUGUUGUUCCUGAGCAAUUCUGGAUUCGUGGGGAUGAUUAGAAGUGAUUUUUGGAGGUAUCUAGAUGUUUCUGGCGC